rnacentral:lncRNA from 1 species
GCGGUAUGUUGACCUAUAGUUAUUAAUUUCUGUGCCAUUUUUGGUCGUUUGUGAAGAGUUGAUGCAUUGGCAAUCAUACCAUUUCUUCUUUUUUCUAUAUUUGCCUUGUGAACUAGCACGCUUAAUAAACUGACCCAGUGCGUCAUUGUAGUACAAAGUUUUGAAAAUUUUCAAAUCUCAUAUAUCAAUUUGCCGUCAUAAGACGGCAUGCUGGACUCAUUCGUAUCUUGGACUGUUCGCAUUCGGGAUGCAAUCUGGACUCAAUCGGCAAAAAAACAGCAAUGGUAAAUCUUUCUAGAUCAUGCCCGUUCCACAUGACACUGUCCAGAAAAUAGUUAUCAAAGACACAAGGAUUAUAGUUUUUUAAGGCAGACGCGCGUUUCGUCUACAUAAGACUGAUCAGUGACGUUCAGUUCCAAAUAGUUAUAAAGCCAAACAAGUACAAAGAAGAAGAGCAUUGAGGACCAACAAUUCCAAAAAGUUGUGCCAAAUACGGCUAAGGUGAUCAAUUCCUGGGAUAAUGAAAUUCUUAGUCACAGAUCAAUUGUUACGAUUUUGAUCAUCGCGAUACUAAGGAAUUUGUCACGACAUAAUAACGAUUGUAAUUCGACUAGACAAAAUUGAUUGAGACUUCCCGAAUGUUAAGGGACGCACCUUACUGUCGGGGUGCUUGUCCAAACUCUCCGAUCCGUAGGAGUCCGAGUGUUACGAACGUAUACUACAGCGUUCAGGCAAUAACAGGACAUUCCAUAUCAUUGAGGAUAGUAAUCCGACUUUUUAACUUUUCGAGUCUUAAGCGCAGUCUGAUCUCAAACGGGAGCAAUAAUCGCCACUGUGUAAACCCCGCUUUAAAGAUCAUAGAACGAUUCUAGCACGCUCAUGCCGUCCUAAUCACGCACGUCUUACGACCUUACUACGUUUCAUAUUACGACCAUUUUUACUUAUAGCCAUGCUCGGGCUCAUUCUCAUUGUCAAAUAAAGCAUGUAAAAGCUCUCCAGGUUUUAUUCGUCUGUAUAUAUAAUUUGGACCUAAUGUCGCUAGUCUCCAACAGCUCAGCCAUGCUUGACACAUUUGUAUCAUCCCACUAUUAAUUGUUCAAUAAAAUAUCUUCAUUUGAUCUUGAUAGAUCAGCAAUAUACGUUGUGAUAGGUUAAUCCGACAUCUCAUCUGGAUCAGGAUUCGUAUCAGAGGCCCCACUGACUCUACCUCUAUCCAUAUCAUGCACAAAUACAAAAUAUUGUAGAUUUUGGUGGCCUGUCUGUGUUGUUAUCGAGAAUUUUACGUAUAAAUGAAAAUAAGGAGGAAUGGAACAGUAUUUAUAUUGACUCCGACAACAUGAUAUUGACGUUAUUAUAUUACCGAGAGCGUAGUAAAAUCGCCAUAUGAACAUGGUAAGAUCGUAGAAUGAUCGUGAUAAAAUCGUUCUUUAAUCGCAGAAGAAACGUGCUAAGAUCGUUUUUUAAUCGGAUAAAGUGUGAUAUAAUCGUAGUAAGAACGUGAUGAGCGUAGCAAGAUCGUGAUUAUCGUAGUGAGGUCGCAGAACAAGCGUGGUGAAAACGGGGUAUACUCUUGGCGGAAUCGUUGUAGAAAAGUAAUGAAGGUCGUAGUAGCAUCGUGAACUCAUCCAAAAUUUACAUUUUCAUGCCGCCCAUACCGCGACCUCAACACGAUCUGAAUACUUUUUAGAUCGUGCUGAGCGUGGUGCGAUCGUGGUCUAGUGUGACUUGUUCAUAAAAUAACAGCGGGCAAGCUGAAGAGAUG